rnacentral:rRNA from 1 species
CUACGGGGUGCAGCAGUGGGGAAUAUUGGGCAAUGGGCGCAAGCCUGACCCAGCAACGCCGCGUGAGGGAAGAAUGUCUUCGGAUUGUAAACCUCUGUCCUUGGGGACGAAAAAAAUGACGGUACCCAAGGAGGAAGCUCCGGCUAACUACGUGCCAGCAGCCGCGGUAAUACGUAGGGAGCAAGCGUUGUCCGGAAUUAUUGGGCGUAAAGGGUGCGUAGGCGGCGCUGUAAGUCAGAUGUGAAAUCCCCGGGCUUAACUCGGGAGUUGCAUUUGAAACUACAGUGCUUGAGUAAAGAAGGGGUAAGUGGAAUUCCUAGUGUAGCGGUGGAAUGCGUAGAUAUUAGGAGGAACACCAGUGGCGAAGGCGACUUACUGGUCUUUUACUGACGCUGAGGCACGAAAGCGUGGGGAGCAAACAGGAUUAGAUACCCCAGUAGUC